rnacentral:misc_RNA from 1 species
GAUGAAGAACGUAGCGAAAUGCGAUAAGUAAUGUGAAUUGCAGAUUUCAGUGAAUCAUCGAAUCUUUGAACGCACAUUGCGCCCGUCAGUAUUCUGGCGGGCAUGCCUGUUCGAGCGUCAUUACGCCCCUCAAGUCCCCUGUGGACUUGGUGUUGGGGAUCGGCGAGGCUGGUUUUCCAGCACAGCCGUCCCUUAAAUUAAUUGGCGGUCUCGCCGUGGCCCUCCUCUGCGCAGUAGUAAAACACUCGCAACAGGAGCCCGGCGCGGUCCACUGCCGUAAAACCCCCCAACUUUUUAUAGUUGACCUCGAAUCAGGUAGGACUACCCGCUGAACUUAAGCAUAUCAAUAAGCGGAGGA